AUGUUUCUUCGGCAGCACAUACACUAAAGUUGGAACGAUACAAAGUAGAUUAGCAUGCCCCUGCGCAAGGAUGAUAUGCAAAAUUGUGAAGAGUUCCUAAUUUUU
rnacentral:snRNA from 1 species